rnacentral:lncRNA from 1 species
GAAGAGAACUCAUUGGAUCCAAUUGGACAGAUACUGAUCCCUUCAGGUACCGAAUUUUCAUCAGCUACCAAAUUGGUGAGGCAACGAACCCGACCAUUGCAAAAUCAAGCGAAGAAGGAGACCCUCUCUUUGAUGAGGCAGCGAGCCCAGGCACUCUAGCAGUCGCAACAUCAAGCGAAGAAGGAGACCCUCUCUCUCUCUCUCUCUCUUGGCCGUAUAAAUUUCGGCGACCGAACCCGGCCAUUGCAAAACCAAGCGAAGAAGGAGACCCCCUCUCUCUCUCUCUCGCUCUCUCGCCGAGCUUGUAAAAGCCCUAGCUGAAGGUAGGCCGCUACCACUUAGCUUUAUUCUCUUCUUGAUUGAGUGUUUCGGUUCAUAUUUGCUUUCUCUCUUGUGUACGCUCUCGCGUAUUGUUGGGGUAGUAGCUGUCGUCGUCGUCCGUCUAGUGGAAGGUUUUGGAUGUAAUGAGACGGCUCUCGAGCGGCGGCGGGGGGCGGGUUUUGUUUUGCGCUGGGUCGUGUUUGGCGCGGUGAUUUUUAAAAUUAGUUCAGUGGCUGUGCCGUUCCAGUUUCGUGCUCUGGCUGGUGAUCGGGGAUUCUUCUCCGAUAGUUGCUCUCGGUGCAUUUGGAAUGUGAACUUCCCUUUGGAGGCAUGGUCCGCCUCGUGGCAUAAGCCUAUGUGCAGUGCCGUGUGCAUGUGAUGGCAGACUGUUGGUGGUCGAAGCCGGAGGGUAUAGGUAGUAUUGACUAAUGGAGGUGGUGGUUUACGGUGGUCGUGCGGAGGUUUUGAUGAAAAUGAUGGCAGAAACCUACGCUUGAACAAGCUGAAUUUGCUUACUUUUCCUGAUUGCUUGAAUUGGGGUUUUUUUUGUUUUGGGAUAUUGCAACUGUAAUUUUAUCUUUUGUCUGUCUCAUAUGAUUGCUCAAAGUAAUUUAAUGAUUGAUGUGUCGAUUAUUAAGGAAGCUUCUGGAGGCAAAGUACGAAAACACAUAGGCAAAGGAGAGUGGUCAUGCUGCUGGACUUGUAGCGCUUUGGAUCCCUAAAGUUCGUUGGGUUCUUUCGAGCUAAUCAUCAGGCGUGAAUUUGAUACGCUGCAGGGCUGCAAGA